UCUGUCCAACGUUAAUCGGGGCAGGGUGAGUCGACCCCUAAGGCGAGGCCGAAAGGCGUAGUCGAUGGGAAACAGGUUAAUAUUCCUGUACUUGGUGUUACUGCGAAGGGGGGACGGAGAAGGCUAUGUUGGCCGGGCGACGGUUGUCCCGGUUUAAGCGUGUAGGCUGGUUUUCCAGGCAAAUCCGGAAAAUCAAGGCUGAGGCGUGAUGACGAGGCACUACGGUGCUGAAGCAACAAAUGCCCUGCUUCCAGGAAAAGCCUCUAAGCAUCAGGUAACAUCAAAUCGUACCCCAAACCGACACAGGUGGUCAGGUAGAGAAUACCAAGGCGCUUGAGAGAACUCGGGUGAAGGAACUAGGCAAAAUGGUGCCGUAACUUCGGGAGAAGGCACGCUGAUAUGUAGGUGAGGUCCCUCGCGGAUGGAGCUGAAAUCAGUCGAAGAUACCAGCUGGCUGCAACUGUUUAUUAAAAACACAGCACUGUGCAAACACGAAAGUGGACGUAUACGGUGUGACGCCUCCCCGGUGCCGGAAGGUUAAUUGAUGGGGUUAGCGCAAGCGAAGCUCUUGAUCGAAGCCCCGGUAAACGGCGGCCGUAACGAUAACGGUCCUAAGGUAGCGAAAUUCCUUGUCGGGUAAGUUCCGACCUGCACGAAUGGCGUAAUGAUGGCCAGGCUGUCUCCACCCGAGACUCAGUGAAAUUGAACUCGCUGUGAAGAUGCAGUGUACCCGCGGCAAGACGGAAAGACCCCGUGAACCUUUACUAUAGCUUGACACUGAACAUUGAGCCUUGAUGUGUAGGAUAGGUGGGAGGCUUUGAAGUGUGGACGCCAGUCUGCAUGGAGCCGACCUUGAAAUACCACCCUUUAAUGUUUGAUGUUCUAACGUUGACCCGUAAUCCGGGUUGCGGACAGUGUCUGGUGGGUAGUUUGACUGGGGCGGUCUCCUCCUAAAGAGUAGCGGAGGAGCACGAAGGUUGGCUAAUCCUGGUCGGACAUCAGGAGGUUAGUGCAAUGGCAUAAGCCAGCUUGACUGCGAGCGUGACGGCGCGAGCAGGUGCGAAAGCAGGUCAUAGUGAUCCGGUGGUUCUGAAUGGAAGGGCCAUCGCUCAACGGAUAAAAGGUACUCCGGGGAUAACAGGCUGAUACCGCCCAAGAGUUCAUAUCGACGGCGGUGUUUGGCACCUCGAUGUCGGCUCAUCACAUCCUGGGGCUGAAGUAGGUCCCAAGGGUAUGGCUGUUCGCCAUUUAAAGUGGUACGCGAGCUGGGUUUAGAACGUCGUGAGACAGUUCGGUCCCUAUCUGCCGUGGGCGCUGGAGAACUGAGGGGGGCUGCUCCUAGUACGAGAGGACCGGAGUGGACGCAUCACUGGUGUUCGGGUUGUCAUGCCAAUGGCACUGCCCGGUAGCUAAAUGCGGAAGAGAUAAGUGCUGAAAGCAUCUAAGCACGAAACUUGCCCCGAGAUGAGUUCUCCCUGACCCUUUAAGGGUCCUGAAGGAACGUUGAAGACGACGACGUUGAUAGGCCGGGU
rnacentral:rRNA from 1 species